rnacentral:rRNA from 1 species
AUUGAACGCUGGCGGCAGGCUUAACACAUGCAAGUCGAGCGGGGGAAGGUAGCUUGCUACUGGACCUAGCGGCGGACGGGUGAGUAAUGCUUAGGAAUCUGCCUAUUAGUGGGGGACAACAUCUCGAAAGGGAUGCUAAUACCGCAUACGUCCUACGGGAGAAAGCAGGGGAUCUUCGGACCUUGCGCUAAUAGAUGAGCCUAAGUCGGAUUAGCUAGUUGGUGGGGUAAAGGGCUACCAAGGCGACGAUCUGUAGCGGGUCUGAGAGGAUGAGCCGCCAAACUGGGACUGAGACACGGACCAGACUCCUACGGGAGGCAGCAGUGGGGAAUAUUGGACAAUGGGGGGAACCCUGAUCCAGCCAUGCCGCGUGUGUGAAGAAGGCCUUAUGGUUGUAAAGCACUUUAAGCGAGGAGGAGGCUACUCUAGUUAAUACCUAGGGAUAGUGGACGUUACUCGCAGAAUAAGCACCGGCUAACUCUGUGCCAGCCGCCGCCGUAA